rnacentral:rRNA from 1 species
GACGAGCCACACGAACGUUAUUCGGAAUUACUGGGCUUAAAGGGUGCGUAGGCUGCGCGGAAAGUUGGGUGUGAAAUCCCUCGGCUCAACCGAGGAACUGCGCCCAAAACUGCCGUGCUCGAGGAAGAUAGAGGUAAGCGGAACUUACGGUGGAGCGGUGAAAUGCGUUGAUAUCGUAAGGAACACCUGUGGCGAAGGCGGCUCACUGGCCCGAUACUGACGCUGAGGCACGAAAGCGUGGGGAGCAAACAGG